UGCAGUCGAGGGGUAGAGGAAGCUUGCUUCCUUGAGACCGGCGCACGGGUGCGUAACGCGUAUGCAAUCUACCUUUUACAGAGGGAUAGCCCAGAGAAAUUUGGAUUAAUACCUCAUAGUAUAUAUCAUUCGCAUGUUUGGUAUAUUAAAGUUCCAACGGUAAAAGAUGAGCAUGCGUCCCAUUAGUUAGUUGGUAAGGUAACGGCUUACCAAGACGAUGAUGGGUAGGGGUCCUGAGAGGGAGAUCCCCCACACUGGUACUGAGACACGGACCAGACUCCUACGGGAGGCAGCAGUGAGGAAUAUUGGUCAAUGGACGCAAGUCUGAACCAGCCAUGCCGCGUGCAGGAAGACGGUCCUAUGGAUUGUAAACUGCUUUUGUACGGGAAGAAACCCUCCGACGUGUCGGAGCUUGACGGUACCGUAAGAAUAAGCAUCGGCUAACUCCGUGCCAGCAGCCGCGGUAAUACGGAGGAUGCGAGCGUUAUCCGGAAUCAUUGGGUUUAAAGGGUCCGUAGGCGGUUUAAUAAGUCAGUGGUGAAAUCUGGUCGCUCAACGAUCAAACUGCCAUUGAUACUGUUAGACUUGAAUUACUGUGAAGUAACUAGAAUAUGUAGUGUAGCGGUGAAAUGCUUAGAUAUUACAUGGAAUACCAAUUGCGAAGGCAGGUUACUAACAGUGGAUUGACGCUGAUGGACGAAAGCGUGGGGAGCGAACAGGAUUAGAUACCCUGGUAGUCCACGCCGUAAACGAUGGAUACUAGUUGUUUGGAUUUAUCUGAGUGACUAAGCGAAAGUGAUAAGUAUCCCACCUGGGGAGUACGAACGCAAGUUUGAAACUCAAAGGAAUUGA
rnacentral:rRNA from 1 species